GAGGAAUUAUGACUUUUAUAAGAUCUUCUCCCAGCCCGGCCUGUGACACAGGUCUAUAAUCCCAGAACUCUGGGAAGACGAGGCAGGAGGAUCUUAAGUCCAAGCUUACGUGAAGGGAUCUUCCCUCAAAAUAAAAUUUAAAAACAUAAAAUUAAAAUAAACUUCUGAGAAUGCAAUUGAGUGGAAGGUCCUGGAUUCAGUCUAUAUUAUCACACACACCCACCCUAAAUCUUCCUUCUUUGUUGUCUGGAAGACCUAUUUUUUCUAUAAAGGAAUGUCUGUUAACUACCUUUCCGCCUAGGGGGAAAUAACCUCCCCUCCCACUGUUCUGAGGAAUCUGGAGUGUGAAGAGUACUGGUGGGAGGAGCGGAAGAUUGUAUAAAAAUCUUUCGCCCUGGACGGCAGACCUGCUUUCAUCGCCUCUGGAACCAGGUCGCAGGGUAGCAGGAGAGGGUGACGGCAGCAGUGAGAACACAGCGGAAGGAAAAAGAUUAAUGCUGAUAAAACUGGGAAGCAAAAAAAAAGCAUCAAGAAGUAAGUUCGUUUUAUUUUAUUCAAUAGCAUUUUUGGUGUUAUAUCCUUUUCUGACUAGAAGUAGCAUACUCUUAUUUAAAAUACAUAAGCCCAUAAUUAUGAACCCAUCUAACAACUAACCUCCUGC
rnacentral:lncRNA from 1 species